rnacentral:rRNA from 1 species
AGCGAACGCUGGCGGCAUGCCUUACACAUGCAAGUCGAACGGUAACAGGUCUUCGGAUGCUGACGAGUGGCGAACGGGUGAGUAAUACAUCGGAACGUGCCCGAGAGUGGGGGAUAACGAGGCGAAAGCUUUGCUAAUACCGCAUACGAUCUCAGGAUGAAAGCAGGGGACCGCAAGGCCUUGCGCUCACGGAGCGGCCGAUGGCAGAUUAGGUAGUUGGUGGGAUAAAAGCUUACCAAGCCGACGAUCUGUAGCUGGUCUGAGAGGACGACCAGCCACACUGGGACUGAGACACGGCCCAGACUCCUACGGGAGGCAGCAGUGGGGAAUUUUGGACAAUGGGCGCAAGCCUGAUCCAGCCAUGCCGCGUGCAGGAUGAAGGCCUUCGGGUUGUAAACUGCUUUUGUACGGAACGAAAAGACUCUGGUUAAUACCUGGGGUCCAUGACGGUACCGUAAGAAUAAGCACCGGCUAACUACGUGCCAGCCGCCGCAGUAAUAC